rnacentral:rRNA from 1 species
UACGUAGGGGGCAAGCGUUGUCCGGAUUUAUUGGGCGUAAAGAGCGUGUAGGCGGCCAGGUAGGUCCGUUGUGAAAACUCGAGGCUUAACCUCGAGCUGUCGGCGGAAACCAUCUGGCUAGAGUCCGGAAGAGGAGAAUGGAAUUCCCGGUGUAGCGGUGAAAUGCGCAGAUAUCGGGAAGAACACCCGUGGCGAAGGCGGUUCUCUGGGACGGUACUGACGCUGAGACGCGAAAGCGUGGGGAGCGAACAGG